CCUACGGGAGGCAGCAGUGGGGAAUAUUGGGCAAUGGGCGCAAGCCUGACCCAGCAACGCCGCGUGAAGGAAGAAGGCUUUCGGGUUGUAAACUUCUUUUGUCAGGGACGAAGCAAGUGACGGUACCUGACGAAUAAGCCACGGCUAACUACGUGCCAGCAGCCGCGGUAAUACGUAGGUGGCAAGCGUUAUCCGGAUUUCUUGGGUGGAACGGGCGUGUAGGCGGGAAUGCAAGUCAGAUGGGAAAACUAUGGGCUCAACCCAUAGCCUGCAUGUGAAACUGUAUUUCUUGAGUGCUGGAGAGGCAAUCGGAAGUCCGUGGGUAGCGGUGAAAUGCGUAGAUAUACGGAGGAACACCAGUGGCGAAGGCGGAUUGCUGGACAGUAACUGACGCUGAGGCGCGAAAGCGUGGGGAGCAAACAGGAUUAGAUACCCGAGUAGUC
rnacentral:rRNA from 1 species